rnacentral:rRNA from 1 species
GUCCUUUACUGACGCUAAAGCUCGAAAGUGCGGGUAUCGAACAGGAUUAGAUACCCUGGUAGUCCGCACGGUAAACGAUGGAUGCCCGCUGUUUGCGAUACAAUGUAAGCGGCCAAGCGAAAGCGUUAAGCAUCCCACCUGGGGAGUACGCCGGCAACGGUGAAACUCAAAGGAAUUGACGGGGGCCCGCACAAGCGGAGGAACAUGUGGUUUAAUUCGAUGAUACGCGAGGAACCUUACCCGGGCUUGAACUGCCAGCGAACGAUACAGAGAUGUUGAGGCCCUUCGGGGCGCUGGUGGAGGUGCUGCAUGGUUGUCGUCAGCUCGUGCCGUGAGGUGUCGGCUUAAGUGCCAUAACGAGCGCAACCCCUUUCGUCAGUUGCCAUCAGGUAAGGCUGGGCACUCUGGCGACACUGCCACCGUAAGGUGUGAGGAAGGUGGGGAUGACGUCAAAUCAGCACGGCCCUUACGUCCGGGGCUACACACGUGUUACAAUGGGUGAUACAGAGAGCAGGUGCAUGGCAAUGUGCAUCGAAUCAUGAAAGUCAUCCUCAGUUCGGAUUGGGGUCUGCAACCCGACCCCAUGAAGCUGGAUCGCUAG